rnacentral:rRNA from 1 species
AGUGAACGCUGGCGGUAGGCCUAACACAUGCAAGUCGAACGGCAGCACAGUAAGAGCUUGCUCUUACGGGUGGCGAGUGGCGGACGGGUGAGGAAUACAUCGGAAUCUACUUUUUCGUGGGGGAUAACGUAGGGAAACUUACGCUAAUACCGCAUACGACCUACGGGUGAAAGCAGGGGAUCUUCGGACCUUGCGCGAUUGAAUGAGCCGAUGUCGGAUUAGCUAGUUGGCGGGGUAAAGGCCCACCAAGGCGACGAUCCGUAGCUGGUCUGAGAGGAUGAUCAGCCAAACUGGAACUGAGACACGGUCCAGACUCCUAAGGGAGGCAGCAGUGGGGAUUAUUGGACAAUGGGCGCAAGCCUGAUCCAGGCAUACCGCGUGGGUGAAGAAGGCCUUCGGGUUGUAAAGCCCUUUUGUUGGGAAAGAAAAGCAGCAGGUUAAUACCCCGCUGUUCUGACGGUACCCAAAGAAUAAGCACCGGCUAACUUCGUG